UCGGCGCGGCGGCCAUGUUCGUCGCGUCCGCGUGGCUCUGCUGCGCGCCCGACGCCCGGGCUGCCCCGCGCCUCUUGGCCCUUGAGUUACACGCGAAUACUGUUAUUUUCAUCUUCGUGUUUUAUCGGAGUCUUUUAAAAAUAUCAGCUUACAUUCUCAGGUUCAUGUUUUCCUUUACUUUCUUGGUGAUGAGCAUAUUUGAAGUUUUAAUGGUCUUGUCUGCUAAGGCAUCAUUUCUACAAUUUUUGGUGCUGUUUCUGUUGAUCAGUUUUUUAAUGGUUUUCUUUGUAUGCCUGGUAAUUUUUGACUAAAUACCUAACAUUGUUAUUCUACAUUGUUGGUCCAUCAACUGAUGAAUGGAUAAAGAAGAUGUGAUUUUUUUUCUAUAAUGGACUGUUACUGAGCCACAAAGAAGGGUAAACUUGAGACAUUUCUAGGUAAAUGUAUGCACCUGAGGUCAUAUUCUUAAGUGAAGUAAAUUGAUCACACAUGUAUAAAUAUCGUACUGGCUGUUGUGAGAAAAUGAAAGUGUAAAUAAGGAUCUAAAUGUAUAGUAGAUAUUGUGAAAUAGGAAAAAUUGUUAAAAAGGAAAGAGGAAUGGAGGAAGGGAGGGAAAAGAAUAAAAUGAGAAAAGAAAAAUAAAAUGGAAACGAAGCUUUUUAAAUAAGGAGGGGAAGAGGGACUGAAGGGAGGGCAAGUGAAUGGGAAAAAGUAGGAAGCAAGAUAUAUCAUGUACAGGUACAAACUCCCUAUGAUGAAGGUGAUCAUUAUGUUUACCUAAAUUGUAC
rnacentral:lncRNA from 1 species